rnacentral:rRNA from 1 species
AACGAACGCUGGCGGCAUGCCUAAUACAUGCAAGUCGAACGAUCACUUCGGUGGUAGUGGCGCACGGGUGCGUAACGCGUGGGAAUCUACCCUUGGGUUCGGAAUAACAGUUAGAGAUGACUGCUAAUACCGGAUGAUGACGAAAGUCCAAAGAUUUAUCGCCCAAGGAUGAGCCCGCGUAGGAUUAGCUAGUUGGUGAGGUAAAAGCUCACCAAGGCGACGAUCCUUAGCUGGUCUGAGAGGAUGAUCAGCCACACUGGGACUGAGACACGGCCCAGACUCCUACGGGAGGCAGCAGUAGGGAAUAUUGGACAAUGGGGGCAACCCUGAUCCAGCAAUGCCGCGUGAGUGAUGAAGGCCUUAGGGUUGUAAAGCUCUUUUACCCGAGAUGAUAAUGACAGUAUCGGGAGAAUAAGCUCCGGCUAACUCCGUGCCAGCCGCCGCCGUAACAC